GAGUUUGAUCCUGGCCAGGAUGAACGCUGGCGGCGUGCUUAACACAUGCAAGUCGAACGGUGAAAGCGGAGCUUGCUCUGCUGGAUCAGUGGCGAACGGGUGAGUAACACGUGAGCAAUCUGCCCCUGACACUGGGAUAAGCGCUGGAAACAGCGUCUAAUACCGGAUACGAGCUGCGAAGGCAUCUUCAGCAGCUGGAAAGAAUUUCGGUCAGGGAUGAGCUCGCGGCCUAUCAGCUUGUUGGUGAGGUAACGGCUCACCAAGGCGUCGACGGGUAGCCGGCCUGAGAGGGUGACCGGCCACACUGGGACUGAGACACGGCCCAGACUCCUACGGGAGGCAGCAGUGGGGAAUAUUGCACAAGGGGCGAAAGCCUGAUGCAGCAACGCCGCGUGAGGGACGACGGCCUUCGGGUUGUAAACCUCUUUUAGCAGGGAGGAAGCGAAAGUGACGGUACCUGCAGAAAAAGCACCGGCGGAGCUACGUGCCAGCAGCGCGGUAA
rnacentral:rRNA from 1 species